GGGUCUCUAGCCUCACCUGGUCCUCCCGAUGGCUGAAGUCAGUGACCAGGGGCACGGGCAAUGGUUCCAGGUCCAAGCUGGCUAUGUCAAAAAUAGCUUGGGGGUUCCCAGGUGCCCUGUCAGGGUAGGCUAGUGUCUGUCUGGGGCCACUCCUGCUGCACACCAAGCCUUUGAGGCACAGAGGCUUAGAGACCCACAGAUGCCUGACACCUCCCAUCCCAGCGGGGCCCACCUGUAGGCAACCAGUAGCUCUUCAUGCCUG
rnacentral:lncRNA from 1 species